CACAAACAGAGCACCUCCUUCUUCCACAGUCUCCAGUCGUUCCCGGCUCCAGGGCCGUACAGUGAGAGACAGAGCACACCAGAAAUUCAGAUGAAUGCUGUCUAAGCUGGGGCAUCCUCACACAGUGGACGAAUAAAAAGCCUGAAGAGCCUGAGAGGUGGAAAUAUUGUCCUUACAAAGCAGCAGGAAGGCAAGCAAAGAAGCAAACACUACAGUUCAGGAGUAUUAAAAAGAUUAUGACAACUCUUGGGCUUUGAAGGGUUUUUUGGAGGCCCCUCCCUACUUCAAGUGAAAAACACAUGAGAAGGCAUCCAACCAGCACGAACAGGCUCUGGAACAUUAAAAUCAGAAGAGAAGAACACCAUUUUAUCCUAGCAGCUCUUCUGCUAUAACCUCCCCAGGAUCCUACUCCCCAGGAAGGAGCUGUCUUUCAGGAAUAACUCAUCUUGUAAUUGCCAUUUCAACAAUGGAGGAACAUACUUACAAGAAAAGUUGUUGUUGAUCUCCAUAUGGGUGACCUCACUGAAGGUCCCAGGAGAGACCCUCCCAGACUCCAUGGGCAACACUCCAAGGCCAGGGAUGUAUACCAGCUUCCCUUGGGACAAUGAUCUUCACUCUCUAUCCUUAGGCCUCGAGAUUCAGCUAAGUUCAGGAUCUGGCCCACAGUCCUAUCAUGAAGUAUACUAGUGUUGAUGAAAGAUGCCACCUCCAACAGCUCCAGGUCAUGGACCAGCAUUGCACUUGCGACUACCUGACUGAAAUAAGACAGGAAUAAAUCUGGAAUAAACAUACCAUUGUUCUUCUUGUAUAAUGACUGCACUGCUGCCCCCAAAAUACAGGCACAAAGACAUUUAAGAAAAUGAAGACAGAUGCCCCACAUCCAUCUUAUAACCAACUGUUAUUCAUCCCGAUAUACUAACUUGCAUCUUCCUGGCUUGUUGGGACUGAGAAAUAAUGUAUCAUAGAAUCACAGAAUUAUGGAAUACUUUGAAUUGGAAGGAACCUUCAGAUGUCUCCAAGUUCCACCCCUCUGCAAUUAACAGGGACAUGCACAGCUAGAUCACGUUGCUCAGAGCCCUGUCCAGCCUGGCCUUGAAUGUCUCCAGAAACAGGGCAUCUAUCACAUCUCUAGGCAACUUGUUCCAGAGCAAUGGCUCUUGAUCAUUAGGAGUAAACGGGAGAGAUGCAAGGAAUGCGAAGGUCUGGCUCAGCACAGCAUAACAAGACUCCUGGACAUCCAUAGAGAACCUUCUGUUUGUGCAGCAGGCAGCAAGCAAAUCUCUGACAUUGCCUCAAAUAUUCUUAGCAAUGGGAGCAAACACUGCCUCUGGGCUCCAGCAGGUCCCAUACACAACCCAGCCAGUUUAAAGACAGGCUUGCUCUAAUUUAUCUCCUCUUGAGGUGUAAAGUAUACAAGUAAUUACAAUCAGACUUUGAUAAAAAGUUUUGUGUAUGUCCAUUAUUGUUGUACUGUUGUAUUGUUGACCCAAAACUCUAGGCUCUGAUACUUCCUGAAAUGAACUCUUCUUUGAUGGCAGAGAUGAAAUUUGCAGUCUAAUUUGGUAAAUGCUUAUUUAAAUUUGUGCAG